rnacentral:rRNA from 1 species
AUGGCAGCAAAGAAACAACUCUUUCGCUUUGGGUCUUUCGCGAUAAAGGACGGGUCAGAGAUUCGUUUCUGGGAAGACAUCUGGCUAGGCAAUGCCAGUCUCCGAGAACAAUAUCCAGCCUUGUACAACAUUGCUCGCGAUAAGAACAAUACUAUUGCGCAGGUGCUCAGCUCAUCCCCGCUGAAUAUUUCAUUCAGGCGGGAUUUGGUUGGCGCCCGACUUAUGUCAUGGCAUAAUCUGUUAUCCCGUCUGGAUCUGAUUAACCUGACGCAAGGGCGUGAUGUGUUUCGCUGGAACCUUACUACAUCAGGGUCUUUCACGGUA